rnacentral:rRNA from 1 species
UUGGAGGGCAAGUCUGGUGCCAGCAGCCGCGGUAAUUCCAGCUCCAAUAGCGUAUAUUAAAGUUGUUGUGGUUAAAAAGCUCGUAGUUGAACCUUGGGCCUGGCUGGCCGGUCCGCCUCACCGCGUGUACUGGUCCGGCCGGGUCUUUCCCUCUGUGGAACCCCAUGCCCUUCACUGGGUGUGGCGGGGAAUCAGGACUUUUACUGUGAAAAAAUUAGAGUGUUCAAAGCAGGCCUAUGCUCGAAUACAUUAGCAUGGAAUAAUAGAAUAGGACGUGUGGUUCUAUUUUGUUGGUUUCUAGGACCGCCGUAAUGAUUAAUAGGGACAGUCGGGGGCAUCAGUAUUCAAUUGUCAGAGGUGAAAUUCUUGGAUUUAUUGAAGACUAACUACUGCGAAAGCAUUUGCCAAGGAUGUUUUCAUUAAUCAGGAACGAAAGUUAGGGGAUCGAAGACGAUCAGAUACCGUCGUAGUCUUAACCAUAAACUAUGCCGACUAGGGAUCGGACGAUGUUAUUUUUUGACUCGUUCGGCACCUUACGGGAAAC